UACGUAGGGCGCAAGGCGUUAUCCGGAAUUAUUGGGACGUAAAGGAGCUCGUAGGCGGUUUGUCGCGUCUGCCGUGAAAGUCCGGGGACUCCGAACUCCCGGAGUCUGCGGUGGGUACGGGCAGACUAGAGUGAUGUAGGGGAGACUGGAAUUCCUGGUGUAGCGGUGAAAUGCGCAGAUAAUCAGGAGGAACACCGAUGG
rnacentral:rRNA from 1 species